CCUACGGGAGGCAGCAGUGGGGAAUAUUGCACAAUGGGGGAAACCCUGAUGCAGCGACGCCGCGUGAGUGAAGAAGUAUUUCGGUAUGUAAAGCUCUAUCAGCAGGGAAGAAAUAAAGUCCUUCGGACUUUGGACGGUACCUGACUAAGAAGCCCCGGCUAACUACGUGCAAGCAGCCGCGGUAAUACGUAGGGGGCAAGCGUUGUCCGGAUUUACUGGGUGGAAAGGGAGCGCAGACGGCUGUGCAGUUCUGGAGUGAAAGUGGGGGGCCCAACCCCCGGACUGGUCUGGAAACUGUAAAGCUGGAGUGCAGGAGAGGUAAGCGGAAUUCCUAGGGUAGCGGUGAAAUGCGUAGAUAGUAGGAGGAACACCAGUGGCGAAGGCGGCUUACUGGACUGCAACUGACGUUGAGGCUCGAAAGCGUGGGGAGCAAACAGGAUUAGAUACCCGAGUAGUC
rnacentral:rRNA from 1 species